GAGGAGAGGAGAGGAGAGGGGGGAAAGAGAGACAGGGGUCAGGCGGGCACCAGACCCCCGUCCCACCUCCACCCCGCGGACGUUCCCGGCCGCCCCGACGGCUCAGCACGCGGGACAGCUCCAGCCCCCCCCCAACCCGUCCCGGGACCGCUCCCCCCGCCCCACGGCGGUGCCGGUGCCGGUGCCGGUGGGUCAUGCUUCAGUAGCCAUGACUGUAGACUGUUACUGUCCUGUCCCUACGCAGCAGUAAGCAGUCUAGAGCCAAGGUGCCGAUGCGCUGACUCGGGCUCUCCUCGACGGGGUCUCUCCACGCUCUUCCGACGGUCGGGGUGAAGGCGACAUAGAGCUCGGGUGUGUCCUGUUGUCCUACGGAGCAUCAACACCAAGGGAUGGGGUCCCAUCAUCAUCGUCACAAAGGAAUCGAUCCCAUCAUCGCACCACGCGCCAUCCUAAAGGGGUAUGGUCCCAUUAUCCUGUCAUAAGAAGUCCCAAAGGGAUGGAAUCCCAUCACCAUUGUCCCAGGAUUAUGGAGUCCCAUAUAUCAUGCCAAAGGAAUGGGGUCCCCUGCCUCAGGGUCAUCCUGAAGGCGUCCUGCCAUCCCACUGAGGAAGGGCUCUCACUUAUCCAUUAAACAUCACUUGGCAGAGAGGGUUCUGCUUGUAUGGGUGAGCAUCAUCCCACACUGAAGGGGAACCCACUGCCCCAUCAAGUGGCACCACACAAAGAAAAGGGUCCCCAUCUCCCCACCAAGGUGAUGGGAACCUCCUGAAGGCCAACAAGGAGCUGUGCAGAGCCCUGCAUUGGGAACCUCGGGCAUGGGGUGUGGGAUACAUGGCAACCCAUGGGGUCCUGGUGGGCAAUGAAGGGUGACGGUGUCCUGGUGGGAGCCCAUGGGGACUGGGGGGCUGUGGGGUGUCCUCCAUGGGGGUCUGAAUGUGGUGCUGGGUACCGGCUCUGGGGGUGGGGGGUGGCAUUGUGGGGCUGGGUGGGACCACAGGGACCUCUAACCUCAGCCGUCAUGGGAUUCUGCCCCUCGUUCAGCUGAGCAUCACCCCACAGGGAGGGGUCUCACAGGACGCUGCCUCUCGGGGGAGGAACCCCUCACCUAUCUGCACAUUGCUCCCCAGGGAGGGGUCCCAAAACCCACCCCACAGCGAAGGGGUCUCAUCACUUCCCAUGGCAUUGCCCCACAAGGAAGAGAUCCCACUGCCCCACAAAGCAUCACCCCAUCGAGAAGAGCCUUCCACCCAUCCCAUUACCGCCCCACAGUUCAGAUUCCCCCUCACCCACCCUGCCCCAUUGGGGCCACGCAGCACAGUGCAACCCCUGGCCCCAAAACAGGGGCUGGUGAUACUGGAGGGCACCUGGAAGAGCUCAGCACAGGCACAGAAGGUGACCCCGCAGCCCACACCCAACAGAGGGCAGCUCACUGCUGUCACGAGUUUCACGGCCUCAGCUCAGCGACGCCGGUGCACGAACGGGACCCGAGUGUCACCGUGUCGGGAGGGGACUCAGCCUCCUUCAAGGGGCCACACAGGGGCUGUGGGGGCUGCUGUGCCCCCGGCACCGCCGGGAAAAUGAAGUGCGAGCUGCCAGCGGGGCUCCAGGCUCCUGGCGGUGCCGGAUGCGGCCCGGCUGGCCAACGCCGUAAUCGAACACAUGUGUGUGGGCUUCGGGGAGAGGCUGCGCUGGGAAACGGGGCCCUACAGAGACCGGGGGGCUGCAUCCUGUCCAACAGCCCAGGUCCCACAUGAAGCCAGGCGUGCGAGCUCGAUCCAAACCACAGCUGGAUUUGAACCCAA